GUCACACGUAGGCUAUGACUCUAAUAUCGAUGGUGAUUUGGCACUGUGCAUAAAUGAUGUCGCCCAUCUUUCAUUCUGAAAUGGGAAAGAGUGCAUUUUUCUUUUCUUUUUCCUUCUUCUUGUAUCUUUUUUCCUUCUCCACCAUACUCUUUAUACAGUGUAACGUAUGAUCAAAGGGGGUUCAAAAGCCAAAUGCUGACACAUGUUUCUGCUUAGGGGCAACACAUGGCGAGCUGAGGAAGCUCUGAAC
rnacentral:lncRNA from 1 species